UCCCUGGUGGCUCAGAUGGUAAAGAAUCCACCUGCAAUGUGGGAAACCUGGGUUCGAUUCCUGGGUCGGGAA
rnacentral:tRNA from 1 species